rnacentral:rRNA from 1 species
CCUACGAGUGGCAGCAGUGAGGAAUAUUGGUCAAUGGGCGGAAGCCUGAACCAGCCAAGUCGCGUGAGGGAAUAAGGCCCUACGGGUCGUAAACCUCUUUUUCCGGGGAGCAAGGGCCGGGACGCGUCCCGGCCCGGAGAGUACCCGGAGAAAAAGAAUCGGCUAACUCCGUGCCAGCAGCCGCGGUAAUACGGAGGAUGCGAGCGUUAUCCGGUUUUAUUGGGUUUAAAGGGUGCGUGUGCGGGCUUUUAAGUCAGCGGUAAAAAUUCGGGGCUCAACCCCGCCCGGCCGGUGAAACUGGGGGCCUUGAGUGGGCGGGAAGAAGGCGGAAUGCGUGGUGUAGCGGUGAAAUGCAUAGAUAUCACGCAGAACCCCGAUUGCGAAGGCAGCCUUCCGGCGCCCUACUGACGCUGAGGCACGAAAGUGCGGGGAUCGAACAGGAUUAGAUACCCCUGUAGC